rnacentral:lncRNA from 1 species
UAUAUUAUCCGCAUUUUACAACAUUUUGCAACGAAACUUUGGAAUAUUACUAAUUUUGUGAUGCUCUUUCAAGCUGUGAAGAAAUUUUUGUUUAGGCUAGUUAAGAUGAAAAUUUUGGAAAAGUGGUAACCAUAUCCUAUUCCUUAUUUUAAAAUGACUGAAAAUUGAAAAUUUCGCAAGGCUAUAUACAUUAUCCGCAUUUUACAACAUUUCGCAAUGAAACUUUGGAAUAUUACUAAUUUUGUGAUGCUUUUUCAUGCUAUGAUGGAAUUUUGUCUAGACUUGUUGAGGUCAAAAUUUUGGUUAAUUGGGGAAUGGUCCAUUCAUACUAACAUGCAAUUUUGAGAGCCCGCAACUGUUGAAAGUUGUAUUUUCGCUUGUUAAGUAUAAAGGUCGCCUUAUCUGCGACAAGUUAGGGCGAGUUACCAUAUAGCCAGACCUGUCUUUGGGCUAUAUAUACAUAUAGUGUAAAUAUUUUUUUGUAAAUUAACUAUUGAAG